AUUGAACGCUGGCGGCAGGCCUAACACAUGCAAGUCGAACGAGUGGCGGACGGGUGAGUAAUGUCUGGGAAACUGCCUGAUGGAGGGGGAUAACUACUGGAAACGGUAGCUAAUACCGCAUACCAUCGGAUGUGCCCAGAUGGGAUUAGCUAGUAGGUGGGGUAAAGGCUCACCUAGGCGACGAUCCCUAGCUGGUCUGAGAGGAUGACGAGCGACACUGGAACUGGGACACGGUCCAGAGUCCUAAGGGAGGCAGCAGUGGGGAAUAUUGCACAAGGGGCGCAAGCCUGAUGCAGACAUGCCGCGUGUGUGAAGAAGGCCUUCGGGUUGUAAAGUACGUUCAGCGGGGAGGCGUUACCCGCAGAAGAAGCACAGGCUAACUCCGUGCCAGUAGCCGCGGUAAUUC
rnacentral:rRNA from 1 species